AAUAGAUACCCCGGUAGUCCACGCCGUAAACGAUGAGUGCUAAGUGUUAGAGGGUUUCCGCCCUUUAGUGCUGCAGCUAACGCAUUAAGCACUCCGCCUGGGGAGUACGGUCGCAAGACUGAAACUCAAAGGAAUUGACGGGGGCCCGCACAAGCGGUGGAGCAUGUGGUUUAAUUCGAAGCAACGCGAAGAACCUUACCAGGUCUUGACAUCCUCUGACAACUCUAGAGAUAGAGCGUUCCCCUUCGGGGGACAGAGUGACAGGUGGUGCAUGGUUGUCGUCAGCUCGUGUCGUGAGAUGUUGGGUUAAGUCCCGCAACGAGCGCAACCCUUGAUCUUAGUUGCCAGCAUUCAGUUGGGCACUCUAAGGUGACUGCCGGUGACAAACCGGAGGAAGGUGGGGAUGACGUCAAAUCAUCAUGCCCCUUAUGACCUGGGCUACACACGUGCUACAAUGGAUGGUACAAAGGGCUGCAAGACCGCGAGGUCAAGCCAAUCCCAUAAAACCAUUCUCAGUUCGGAUUGUAGG
rnacentral:rRNA from 1 species